rnacentral:lncRNA from 1 species
UUCAUCUGAGAAAUCUGGUGUGUAAUGUAGUUAAAAUUUUAAAAAGGCUAGUUUCAAUUAUUGAAUUAGUCUUUUAAAUAAAUGGUUUGGCUUUGUGAUUUUUGCAGGUUCUUUGAAGGGAAGAAAGAAGGGAUGAGAAUUUUACAAUUAGAUUUCUGAGGAUCUUAUAUUUAUCCUUCUUAUGUUUUUUUUUAAAAAAAAAUCCUUCUCCUACUUAUUUGUUCCUGUCCAUGUAAUGGAAACAACUGAAAGCAUAAAUGUGAAGAAAAAACUUAUGUCUUUAUUUCACAUAGUAGUUUUUAAAAAAUAAAGGAAUAGGA